CCUACGGGUGGCAGCAGUGGGGAAUAUUGGGCAAUGGGCGCAAGCCUGACCCAGCAAAGCCGCGUGCAGGAAGAAGGCCCUCGGGUUGUAAACUUCUUUUGUUAGGGACGAAACAAAUGACGGUAGCUGUCGAUUAAGCCACGGCUAACUACGUGCAAGCAGCCGCGGUAUUACGUAGGUGGCAAGUGUUAUCCGGUUUUACUGGGUGUAAAGGGAGUGUAGGCGGGAGAGCAAGUCAGAUGUGAAAUCCCAGGGCUCAACCCUGGAACUGCAUUUGAAACUGUUUUUCUUGAGUGAUGGAGAGGCAGGCGGAAUUCCGUGUGUAGCGGUGAAAUGCGUAGAUAUACGGAGGAACACCAGUGGCGAAGGCGGCCUGCUGGACAUUAACUGACGCUGAGGCUCGAAAGCGUGGGGAGCAAACAGGAUUAGAUACCCCAGUAGUC
rnacentral:rRNA from 1 species